AAAUAAGCGAUGACAGGAACAGUACGGAAUCCGUUUUUCCUCAGAGAGCCGGGCCAGGUGCGAGCCGGUGAAAAAGGAAUUCCCGAACGCCCUCCUUGAGCUGCGGGCUGAAAUUGAGUAAGCUUAGCCGUCUUCCGGCGUUAUCGGAGUUGAGUGAGCCGUACAAUUAACGGCUAAUACAGGUGGUACCGCGGGAGCAAUCUCGUCCUUAAU
rnacentral:ncRNA from 1 species